rnacentral:rRNA from 1 species
CCCGACUGCUAUUUGGGUGAGGAUAAGCCAUGCGAGUUGAAUGGGAAACCUAAAGUUCCCAUGGCAAACUGCUCAGUAACACAUGAUCAACUUAACCUAUAGAGAAAAAUAACCUCGGGAAACUGAGGAUAAUGUUUCAUAGCUGAAUUGGCUUGGAAAAGUUUUUCGGCGAAAGGGGUAAAAAAAAUGGUUUUUAUCUGCUAUAGGAUAGGAUCGUGUUCGAUUAUGGUUGUUGGUGAGGUAAUGGCUCACCAAGCCGAUAAUCGAUAGGGGCCGUGAGAGCGGGAGCCCCGAGAUGGGUACUGAGACAACGACCCAGGCCUUACGAGGCGCAGCAGGCGCGAAACCUCCGCAAUACACGAAAGUGUGACGGGGUUACCCAAAGUGUUCAAUUUGAACUGUGGUAGGUGAGUAAUGUUCCCUACUAGAAAGGAGAGGGCAAGGCUGGUGCCAGCCGCCGCGGUAAAACCAGCUCUUCAAGUGGUCGGGAUAAUAUUGGGCUUAAAGUGUCCGUAGCCGGUUUAGUAAGUUCCUGGUAAAAUCGGGUAGCUUAACUAUCUAUAUGCUAGGAAUACUACUAUACUAGAGGGCGGGAGAGGUCUGAGGUACUACAGGGGUAGGGGUGAAAUCUUAUAAUCCUUGUUGGACCACCAGUGGCGAAGGCGUCAGACUGGAACGCGCCUGACGGUGAGGGACGAAAGCCAGGGGAGCGAACCGGAUUAGAUACCCGGGUAGUCCUGGCCGUAAACGAUGCAUACUAGGUGAUGGCACGGCCAUGAGCCGUGUCAGUGCCGUAGGGAAACCGUUAAGUGUGCCGCCUGGGAAGUACGGUCGCAAGGCUAAAACUUAAAGGAAUUGGCGGGGGAGCACCACAAGGGGUGAAGCCUGCGGUUCA